GAAUUUUGGCUCUCUAUAGACUAGCUAGCCAAUGAGGAGCGCAGCAAAAUGCGUUGCUUAUUGUAAACUGCAAAAACACGCGUGGAGUAUCGAACAUUUCAGCGCAAAAUGCGCUGGAGGCUUUGGCCAAGAGUAUGUCUGCCUCAGUGUCA
rfam:Volvox carteri f. nagariensis unplaced genomic scaffold VOLCAscaffold_61, whole genome shotgun sequence.